CUGCCACCGGGGACUGGCGGCGGUCGGGGUGAGUACACGUAGGCACCUGCCUCUCAGACCGGGAUAACAUAGGGAAACUUAUGCUAAUACCGGAUAGGUUUUUGGAUUGCAUGAUCCGAAAAGAAAAGAUGGCUUCGGCUAUCACUGGGAGAUGGGCCUGCGGCGCAUUAGCUAGUUGGUGGGGUAACGGCCUACCAAGGCGACGAUGCGUAGCCGACCUGAGAGGGUGGACCGGCCACACUGGGACUGGAGACACGGCCCAGACUUCCUACGGGAGGCAGCAGUAGGGGAAUUUUUCCACAAUGGACGAAAGUCUGAUGGAGCAACGCCGCGUGAACGAUGAAGGUCUUCGGAUUGUAAAGUUCUGUUGUCAGGGACGAACACGUGCCGUUCGAAUAGGGCGGUACCUUGACGGUACCUGACGAGAAAGCCACGGCUAACUACGUGCCAGCCGCAACUUGAUGUGUUAAACACCCCAAA
rnacentral:rRNA from 1 species